rnacentral:rRNA from 1 species
GCGCAGCAGGCGCGAAACUUUACAAUGUGCGAAAGCACGAUAAGGGAACUCUGAGUGCCUCCUAAGGAGGCUGUUCAGGUGUCUAAAAGCACCUGAAGGAAGGGCUGGGUAAGACCGGUGCCAGCCGCCGCGGUAACACCGGCAGCCCAAGUGGUAGCCACGUUUAUUGGGUCUAAAGCGUCCGUAGCCGGCUGGGUAAGUUCCUUGGGAAAUUUGGCUGCUUAACAGUCAAGCUUUCAGGGAAUACUGCCCGGCUUGGGACCGGGAGAGGUCAGAGGUACUCCAGGGGUAGGGGUGAAAUCCAUUAAUCCUUGGGGGACCACCGGUAGCGAAGGCGUCUGACCAGACCGGGUCCGACGGUGAGGGACGAAGGCUAGGGGCGCGAACCGGAUUAGAUACCCGCGUAGU